rnacentral:rRNA from 1 species
AUUGAACGCUGGCGGCAUGCCUUACACAUGCAAGUCGAACGGCAGCACGGGAGCAAUCCUGGUGGCGAGUGGCGAACGGGUGAGUAAUAUAUCGGAACGUGCCCGGUCGUGGGGAUAACGUAGCGAAAGCUACGCUAAUACCGCAUACGAUCUACGGAUGAAAGCGGGGGAUCGCAAGACCUCGCGCGAUUGGAGCGGCCGAUAUCAGAUUAGGUAGUUGGUGAGGUAAAGGCUCACCAAGCCGACGAUCUGUAGCUGGUCUGAGAGGACGACCAGCCACACUGGGACUGAGACACGGCCCAGACUCCUACGGGAGGCAGCAGUGGGGAAUUUUGGACAAUGGGCGCAAGCCUGAUCCAGCAAUGCCGCGUGCAGGAUGAAGG